GUAGUCUCAGUCACGGUCACGGUGGGCGAAGGGCGGGGACGAGCAAGGGAGAGGGGAAGAAAUCCAAAGUGUCAAAAUAACGGGGUCGAAGGGUCGGGGGAAGGGUUAAGGCAGUCCAGGCUCAGGAAGGUUUCGCCACCAGACAUGCCAGAAGAAGAAGCAGUCAACUAGUAAAAAAUGCGCAAGUGCACGCAUGAAUGAGUGACGAACCAUGAAGAGAAUUACUUGAGGAAACAGCUUCUGUAUUCAGAACACAACUCAAAAUUAUCUCAUUUAUUUCAGAAAUCGCUGGGAAUCUCUAUCACAUUUACCUCAUAAGAAUUAUUUACAUUUAGUUCAUCCAACUCGCUGGUCAGAAUGAGUGACUCAGGUCGCUGCAGCUCAGUUGUCUAUUACGCGUUCUAAAAUGCUGGUCUACACUGAGGACUAGUUGUUAGUAAGAGUCAUUUGACUAAUUUCUGGAAUUACUUCGGAGGCAUUUUUUUCACAAUUCCUUAAUCCUAGUAGCUCUAGUUUUGGUAAAUUUUGACAAAAUUUAAGCAAGAAAACCAACCGGGGAUCAGCCGGGGAAUACGAAAAAGGGUGCCCCGCUCUGGCCGAGCAAAUUACAGGGACUUGGCCGGGACUAUCACGCUGGCCCUGUUUUAUCUUCCCCGCUCACUCUCCGCUAGUACCGGGUCCCCCGGGGCUGGGAUUACAAUUAACAGGUGCAUAACUGGAACAAUAAUUUUUCUCAGUCAUGUGUUCGUCACCUAAUUUGCCAUUUUGGCAACGCUGCCUUCCCUACACGCCAGUGGGGUGACAUUAUGAGACGUGUCCACGUCGUGCUUGUGCGCGCGCGGUCAGGCAACUAGCACUGGUCAAGAUCGCUGAAAUAAUUACGCACAAAAAAAGAAGAAAAAUGAACCAUUUUGAAAAAGUAAUGCGACAUGUGACUGGCUGUAGUGGCUUCUCUACAUAUACACGUAGAGAGAGAGAAACACGUUGUAUCUAUCGGUUUUGCCAGGUUACAUGUAUGUCAGAUCCCCAAACAUAGUGAUCUGUGUCAGUGUGGCACAGAAAGGGGGACGAUGGAUUACAGAGGGAAUUCCCCUCCCACUGUAUGUAGUGGAGCUACGUGUACUCAGCUAACCAGUCGAUCUUCAGUGCAGCGUGGAGUUUGUUGACUUGACAUACACACAUGUGGCACUCAGCACACCAGGAUUUAACAAGCACCCAUCCCUGGCUCCAAGGUCAACUAGAACUUGUUUUUGAACAGCUGUUGAAUGCUUGAAGUGCAAGAGGUAAGGGACCAGUCAACCAAGACACUGCAUUCUGUGACCCUACCAUCCCGUAGGGAUUUUUGAGGGAAGAAAAGGCUUCCAACAUGUAAGCAUCGGCAGCCAAGAAGACACCAUCCACACUUAAAAGUUAAGGCAUUUACUUCUCAACGUGUGUGGUGACGUUUAGAAUCAUGCUUGAAGCUGAACCAGAAGGAAUCCGUGCUUAUAUUCUGCUGCAGCAUGAGACUCUACAUACAUGGUAAAACAUUUGCUUUUGACAUUCCCGAUUAACCUUAGCACAUGUGGCAGAGUGGGUAGCACGUGAGAUAUUAGCAUCAAAGACCCGAAGAAGAUAGUUGCUCAAGACAUUUUAUGGAAAAUGAUUCUCCCACACUGUGAUUCCAGCACAUACAUGUAAACACAAGUGACAAAAAAAGCCUCUUUCGGUUGACAUACGCAUUGAGGGUGUCCAGCAAACAAGCACCCGUAAGUGGUUUGAUGGUCAGUCGGUGACGUUAGUUGGAACAGCUUCUCAAACAGGGAUGCCCUUGGACAUGAGGGUCCACAUUCAAGAGGAGCCAUUUGUUUGUGACGUUUGUGGCAAAGUUUUCUCAAACAGUAGCACCCUUCGAUGACACACGAGAAUCCACACUAAGGAGAAGCCAUUUGUUUGUGAAAUUUGUGGCAAGGGCUUCUCAUGUAAUAGUCAUAUUCGAGAUCAUAAAAGAAUCCACACCACUGAGAAGCCGUUUGUUUGUGAAAUUUGUGGCAAGGGCCUUCUCACGUAAUAGGUCUCUUCACAGACAAAAAUAGGUCCACACCAAAGAGAAGCCAUUUGUGUGUGACAUUCGUUGCUAGGGUUUUGGGGGAUUUCGGUUUUAAUAUUUGAUAAAAUAUAUUGAAUUCCUUCGUUCCUACUCAUCUAUGAAAUAUCUUUGUAAAAAAGCGAAAAGCAAUUGACAAAAAAAUCUCCCCCCCCCCUGCUGGAUACGCCACAGUCCAGAUGUCACGACCAUUAGACUUAAGGACUUAAAUGGUACAAUGUGCUAUGCGCACGGAUUGUUUAUGUGAACACAAGUGCCAUGACUCUGUAGUGAGCUCAAGCUCCCGAGUUGAUGUUCAUGUUCCAAAGUGUGCGUACAGUGUGCACCCAUCAAUGGGAAAUGUUUACACUUUGGGCCAACCUGUCUCGGCUAAAUGACCAUUGGACAGAACGGCAUCUCUGAUACUUUGAAGGACUAUGUACUCAAGCUUCAGGACUGACAAGGGUUUGUGAAGGGAUGCAUAGCUGCCACUGCAUCGAGAAUACAUGCGACUGCACAACUAAACAGAUGUAUCGACUGAUCAGGUUUGUUUGUUUAUUCAGAAUUCUGUUGAAAAAGGCCAAGACAUUGUGUCAUGCUGAAAGUCAAAGCUAUCCUUCUCCUAUGAAGGGGGGCUUUAGCCAUCA